rnacentral:rRNA from 1 species
UACGUAUGGUGCAAGCGUUAAUCGGAAUUACUGGGCGUAAAGCGAGCGCAGGCGGUUAUGUAAGACAGGUGUGAAAUCCCCGGGCUUAACCUGGGAACUGCAUUUGAGACUGCAUGGCUAGAGUGCGUCAGAGGGGGGUGGAAUUCCACGUGUAGCAGUGAAAUGCGUAGAGAUGUGGAGGAACACCGAUGGCGAAGGCAGCCCCCUGGGAUGACACUGACGCUCAUGCUCGAAAGCGUGGGGAGCAAACAGG